rnacentral:rRNA from 1 species
AUUGAACGCUGGCGGCAGGCCUAACACAUGCAAGUCGAGCGGAUGAAGGGAGCUUGCUCCUGGAUUCAGCGGCGGACGGGUGAGUAAUGCCUAGGAAUCUGCCUGGUAGUGGGGGAUAACGUCCGGAAACGGGCGCUAAUACCGCAUACGUCCUGAGGGAGAAAGUGGGGGAUCUUCGGACCUCACGCUAUCAGAUGAGCCUAGGUCGGAUUAGCUAGUUGGUGGGGUAAAGGCCUACCAAGGCGACGAUCCGUAACUGGUCUGAGAGGAUGAUCAGUCAACUGAGACUGGAGAGACGGCCCGGACCCCGCGGGGGGGCAGCAGGGGGAAAUUUUGAAGAAGGGGGAAAGGCUUGACCCAGCCGUGCGGGGGGUGGAAAGAGGGUCUGGGAAUUUAAAAGCAUUUUAAGUGGGGAGAAGGGACAGUAAUUUAAUACCUUCCUUUUUGGAGUUUCCAAAAAAAAAAAGCCCCGUCAAGCUUCGGC